GACGUAGGAGGCGAGCGUUGUCCGGAUUCAUUGGGCGUAAAGAGCACGCAGGCGGUUUGGCAAGUCGGAUGUGAAAACCCGGAGCUCAACUCCGGACCUGCAUCCGAAACUGCCCGACUAGAGGUAGGUAGGGGAGAUCGGAAUUCCUGGUGUAGCGGUGAAAUGCGCAGAUAUCAGGAGGAACACCGAUGGCGAAGGCAGGUCUCUGGGCAUUAACUGACGCUGAGGAGCGAAAGCAUGGGGAGCGAACAGG
rnacentral:rRNA from 1 species